ensembl:lncRNA
AUAUUAAUAGGAUAGCAGAGUCUGAUGGAGAAGACGAAGAAUCAGUCAAUAUCAAUACCUCUCAUUUAUCUGGCUCUUUCUUUGCUGGGCAAGAGCUAUUCCAAGCGCUCUGCAUACAUGAUCUGAUUUUAUCAAUACUACAGCCUCCUGAGGCCCAGCUCAAAUCCAGCCUCUUUCCUGGUCACUUCAAUUCACAGAAUUCACUUGACACUGAAUCCAAUUACAAAGAUUAUGCAAGCAACACUUUGUUCUUAAAUAAUACCAGCAGCGCAGAAUCCAUUAAACAAAUCUUUAAUGGAAGAAACUAUUCCUUUUAUUACAGUUAGUCAUUUUGAUUGUACUUUAGGUUUUUUAAAAACUGCAGUGUCUUAUCUAACCCACUCAGUGAUGCUGAGAGGCAGACAGAGGUAGUAGUCAGGACUCCUUUGGUUGUAAGGGACAGAAGCCCAGCAGGCUGGAGAUUAAGUACAAAUGGAAAUUUAAUUCAAUCACAGACUCAAAGGAAGAAUCCAGGACAGAUUUGGUGAGCUCUGGGACUGGAAUACAGGAUUUACUGUCUCCAGUUAUUCUAUAAUAUAAUGUCUCGCCUACUUCUGUGUGCUGCCUCCACUCUCUAUUGCUUGGUUUGGUUUGCUCUGGGAUGGAGUAUGGAUAUUUUCUUCCUGUGUCAAUAUGUAUAAAUUCUACAACCUCAACAGAAGUGCAAGAUUGGACUAAGGAAUGAAUAAUUCUCCAAAGGAAGGCAAAGACUACCCUGGAGAAAAUGGGAGAACUCAAAAAGCAUACAGAAAGCAAAUAUCCACUCCAGCAGAUUGAAGAUUUGUGGCAGCCCUGUAUUGGGCAAGUCUAUUGGCACCAUUUUUCCAACAGCGUUUGCUGACUUCGUGUCUCUAUCCCGUUUUGGACUAUACUGCUGCUGCUAAGUCGCUUCAGUCUGUGUGACCCCAUAGACGGCAGCCCACCAGGCUCCCCCGUCCCUGGGAUUCUCCAGGCAAGAACACUGGAGUGGAUUGCCAUUGCCUUCUCCAGUGCAUGAGAGUGAAAAGUGAAAGUGAAGUCGCUCAGUCGUGUCUGACUCUUCGUGACCCCAUGGACUGCAGCCUACCAGGCUCCUCCGCCCAUGGGAUUUUCCAGGCAAGAGUACUGGAGUGGGGUGCCAUUGCCUUCUCCCUAAUGGACUGUAGCACAGUGUGAACAUAACUUUUCUUUUAUAUGCACUGAGAAUCCAGAACAUUCAUGUGACUGGCUUUAUUGCAGUGAUC